rnacentral:lncRNA from 8 species
CCUUUGCCUUAGCACUACACAGCUGAUUCAAAUCAUCAAAGCUUGAUGAUGAGUUGAUGAUUUGUAUAAGUUGUGUAGCGCUAAGGAAAAAAGCAUAAUGUGCAUCUUUUUGGGUCCAUAGGACCAGGAUUGAGAGCCACUGGUCUAGACUAAUAGUUUCCUUCCUGUCACACAAUGUGACAGGGCAAACAAGGAACUGAAUUUCUGCAUUCAUACGUACAUAUAGUAUUAUUCCAUUGCGUGGUAAUUCACCUCUACCGGUAAUCCAUGCCCUGCCUCCUUCCACAUGAACAUGUAGAUAAGAAGGAGUAAAAAACAUAUUACAGAAUUUAGAAAGUAUUAAUCCUGCUGAGACAGUGUAUUGGCUAAAGGAUAGGCUUACUAAGUACAGGACCAAGAAUGGACAGAGGACUUCUCUUUGUGGUCUCUAUGGUGAUGGGCUGUCUGGCUCCAGGUGUUAGUGGAAACGGACAUCUCUCGUUUGCCAAUAAUACGGAGGUGCAUAUCACACGGACAGGCUGUGGAUUAAUUAAACUGUGUGUAGAGACCCCAGAACAAUGUGAUCCUACAGGAGAAACAGGCUGCCUCUUCGCUUCCAUAGUCACCACCGCCCCCUCUUCUCCUAAUGGAGUAGACCUGUUAGUUGAGCUCGUUGGGGACUCCAGUGGAUACAUUGCUCUAGGACUGACUGCCAACGAGACAGAGGGAACAUCUAUGGUUUUUAUCUGUGCCCAGAACAGAAAUGGCAGUUUCUUCUUCCGCUCUGCCCAGCGCAACAACCUCAACAACACAAUUUCUCUGACACAAAGGAUUGUGAAAAACAUCACUGGCUCAGUCAAUGGGACUGUCAUCCAGUGUAAAUUCAGAGUGCCAGCGGUUAAUGCACCGACCAGGACCAGUCACGUCACCACCUUCGCCACCUUCCUCGCUGUGGGAAAUGUCACAAACGGUAUGGGUAUUGGUGACAUCAACAUACGCUUGACCAAUAAGCCAUUGAACCUGGCUGACCCUACCAGCAACGUUGCAACAGCAGGCAGCAGCGCACUCACAUCCCAAGGUAAGCAAGUCAGGCUUGAGCUAGACUUGAGCUUGCCCUUAAUCAACCAUAGAUCUGCUGGGGUCAUGUCUUAUUCUAGUGCUUCCCAGUGUUCUGUCGGGUCCAUAACAUCCAGUCAAUCCACCCUUCCCUUUCAGCUGUGA